rnacentral:rRNA from 1 species
AUCAGGGUUCGAUUCCGGAGAGGGAGCCUGAGAAACGGCUACCACAUCCAAGGAAGGCAGCAGGCGCGCAAAUUACCCACUCCCGGCACGGGGAGGUAGUGACGAAAAAUAACGAUGCGGAACUCUAUGAGGAUCCGUAAUCGGAAUGAGUACAGUCUAAAUCCUUUAACGAGGAUCAAUUGGAGGGCAAGUCUGGUGCCAGCAGCCGCGGUAACUCCAGCUCCAAUAGCGUAUAUUAAAGUUGCUGCAGUUAAAAAGCUCGUAGUUGGAUCUUGACGGUACUGCCGCGAGUCGAGUUUUGUUCGCCUCUGAAGUUAGAUUCAUUCUUCUUUAGGGGUGGCAGGCUUUGUCUCGUCUGCGGUGCAGUCUUUCAGCCGUGUCUGCUCCCCUCGGGGUUCAGGUGCUGCUUGUCAGAUGGGCUUGUCUUGUCUGUCGAGCGGUACGCACUACGAUCCACUUUAUUGCGUGUCGUGGUGCGGGCGGCAUGUUUACUUUGAACAAAUUUGAGUGCUCAAAGCAGGCCAAUGUGUCUGAAAAGUCUUGCAUGGAAUAAUGGAAUAGGACUUCAGUUCUAUUUUGUUGGUUUUCGGAUCUGAAGUAAUGGUUAAGAGAGACAGACGGGGGCAUUUGUAUGGCGGUGUUAGAGGUGAAAUUCAUGGAUCGCCGCCAGACAGCCUGAAGCGAAAGCAUUUGCCAGGAAUGUUUUCAUUGACAAAGAGCGAAAGUCAGAGGUUCGAAGACGAUCAGAUACCGUCCUAGUUCUGACCAUAAACGAUGCCGACUGACGAUCCGUGGGGUAAAAUCCUUUUGUCCCCACGGGCAGUCUCCGGGAAACCUUUAAGUCUUUGGGUUCCGGGGGAAGUAUGGUUGCAAAGCUGAAACUUAAAGGAAUUGACGGAAGGGCACCACCAGGAGUGGAGCCUGCGGCUUAAUUUGACUCAACACGGGAAAACUCACCCGGCCCGGACACUGUGAGGAUUGACAGAUUGACAGCUCUUUCAUGAUUCAGUGGUUGGUGGUGCAUGGCCGUUCUUAGUUGGUGGAGCGAUUUGUCUGGUUAAUUCCGAUAACGAACGAGACUCUAUUCUGCUAAAUAGUACUCCCGUAAUUGGUGACACUGCUUUGACUAAGUUUUGCUGCAUUCGUGUGGCAGAUCUUGGCUCAGGCGUUUUACUGCGCGGGUGAAACUUCUUAGAGAGACAAGUUGCGCUAGCAAUACGAAAUUGAGCAAUAACAGGUCUGUGAUGCCCUUAGAUGUCCGGGGCCGCACGCGCGCUACAAUGACGGUACCAGCGAGUAUGACCUCCUGGCCCGAGAGGGUUAGGCAAACUGGUCCAUGACCGUCGUGACAGGGAUCGGGGUUUGUAAUUAUCCCCCGUGAACGAGGAAUUCCCAGUAAGUGCAAGUCAUAAGCUUGUGCUGAUUACGUCCCUGCCCUUUGUACACACCGCCCGUCGCUACUACCGAUUGAAUGGUUUGGCAAGGCCUUCGGAUUGGUGCCAU